rnacentral:misc_RNA from 1 species
GAUGAAGAACGUAGCGAAAUGCGAUAAGUAGUGUGAAUUGCAGAAUUUCCGUGAGUCAUCGAAUCUUUGAACGCACAUUGCGCCCACUGGUAUUCCGGUGGGCAUGCCUGUUCGAGCGUCAUUAUCCUCCCUCAAACCCCGGGUUUGGUGUUGGACCGAAGUUGUGUGAACAACUGGUCUAAAAAACAAUGACGGCGUCCGUGGGACCCUCGGUGCAACGAGCUUUUAGGAGCACGCGCCGAGUUGCAAGGACCUUCCGGGCCGGUCUCCUUUUACUAUUUUACAAGGUUGACCUCGGAUCAGGUAGGAAUACCCGCUGAACUUAAGCAUAUCAAUAAGCGGAGGA